GUUGAUGUUAGGUAGGCAGCUACAGUAGCUGAAUGAUGUUAACAUCUUCGGGUUUUGUUUCAUUAAAUGUAUUUUAUUUCAUCUGGGUGCUUACGUCACCUACUAACACCCUGGUACUACCCGUAGCUCCCGUUCAACUCAGUCUGAUAAAACACUGAGAGAGAAAGAACAGCUUGUCAGGUGGUGCAUUGGAGACUGAUGUUCCUGUCCUGUCUUUUCACAAUCCUAUUGCAGAUUACAGGAAAAAACUAUGGGAUGAAGGGAUCAGGCCUGACUAACAAAGAAGACAGGUGGAUGGAUCAAGAGGAUCAACAUGGACAUUCCACAGCUCUGAUCAGGCCCUACACCCAAACAAGGGCACUGCGUUCAUCCACCUCUGGCCUGCUCCCCUCCCUACCUCUGAGGAAGCACAGUUCCCGCUCAGCCCAGUCAAAACUGUUCGCUGCUCUGGCACCCCAAUGGUGGAACAAGCUCCCUCACGACGCCAGGACAGCGGAGUCAAUCACCACCUUCCGGAGACACCUGAAACCCCACCUCUUUAAGGAAUACCUGGGAUAGGAUAAAGUAAUCCUUCUAACCCCCCCUUAAAAGAUUUAGAUGCAGUAUUGUAAAGUGGUUGUUCCACUGGAUAUUAUAAGGUGAAUGCACCAAUUUGUAAGUCGC
rnacentral:lncRNA from 1 species